GCUUGCGUAGCGCAGUGGUAGCGCGUUCCCUUCCUAAGGGAGAUGUCGCGGGUUCGAUCCCCGUCGCGAGUU